rnacentral:ncRNA from 12 species
AACGGCGGGAGUAACUAUGACUCUCU